GGAAACUCACCUCCGGGACGCAGCGCCGCCGGGACCGCCUGGAGGACGCCGCUCGUGCCGGGACCGCUCGGGACACCGCAUGGCCAGGAAUAGAAAGAGAGGAAAAUCCGUAGCGAAAUUCCGCAAACUUACUGAUUUUUACCUCUCCCCCGGAGCCCUCUGACUCCCGCCAAAGCACUAGCGCGCACCAGCAUGCUGCACAAUCAACCUGCAGAAGCUCCUCAAUGCCUCCGUCCUCACCGCAGCCCGUUUCUCCCUCCAGGAGCUCCCCACAGAGUGCCAGCGCUUCCGGUCACCCUGCGCACAGAGCUGUCACAUCUGCCCCGGCAUCUCCCCUGUCGGGGAGCCCGGCGAAGCAGCGCCAGUGCCUCCAUGAUGCUGAGGAGGCUGAAGAUACUCCAGGGGGCACACAGGGUGCUGAAACCGAACCAUUUGGCAGACUACGUCCCUAGAGAUGUGCUGGCUAGGCUGCACUAUUUCCAUAUCAAAGACGAACUUAUGGCUACCUCUAGGAAAACACCCCCAUUACCUGGAGAAUUUGGGAAGAUUACUCUCUUUACAGACUUGUCUGCAGCCACUUUACAGCAAAGGAGAUAAUUUUUCCCUAACACCUCAAUCCUGAGAAAGCAUAAAAUCCUAUAUCGCUGGGGAUUUCCUGUUUGUCUGUUAAUCCAAAGGGAUAAUGCACUACAUAUUAUUAAAUCCGUUGAAGUAGGUCAUCAACUAUUGAUUAAGUGGCAACCACCUGGAGACAGCAAUACACCUACAUCUCGCCCUCCAUCAACUAAGGUGGACUCGGGAUGGCACACAGUGAGUUCGGUGAGAUGAGUCCACACCAGCGAAAGAAUGGACCGGUCUGAUUGGCUGUAUUGGCUCAAGUGGACUAUGCUCCUUAACACGAUAUCUGUUGAGAUGGCACUCUACAGGAUCUUCCACAUUGUCGCUAUGUGUUGGUUACUUACUUUAUUCUUCCCUUUUUGUCUGUUUUGUUUUUUGUUUCUCUCCUACAGGUGGACCUUCUUUUUGUCAAUGCUACGUGAGAUGCUGCAAUAUUCUCAUAUGUACAAG